rnacentral:lncRNA from 1 species
UAUGGGAUGGAUGGUGCCUGGCACGUUGCUCCUGAGGGGUUUGCAUCCACCACGGCCCGGGCGUUGGGGUUGCAACCGGCAUUUUGUGAGCGGGGGGGGUUGGCAGCUGCCGCGGUGCACACAGCGGGCUCGCACCCAUCCCGUCACUCAUGACACGGCGCGUGCCGUGCCUUCGCAUCGAUCCCGCCACCACGAUGGCUUUGCAUCCGUCACGACGCUUACGAUGGGCUCAGCACCUCUCUCUGCUUCUCCCAUAGGUGCUGAGCGGCCCCGGCACAGGGACCGCGGGCUGCGGGGCGCCGCGAUGCCCGCCCGGAGAGGAACCCGUCGGGGUAAGCGGCGCAAAAAGCGGCGCCUCCAUCCUAGGAGCCAGGAGCCGACCGCGGCACGGCUGCCGUGCGGGCUCCAUCCAUCCCUCACCUCUCUUUCCACCCGCGCAGGCGUGCGGCUCGGCACAGACGUGCCGCCCGUGCCCCCCUGGCGCUUUCUCCCCGGGGGACGCGCCGUGCGCCCCGCACACCCGCUGCCACGCCGCCAACCGGCUCCUCCUGGCACCAGGGACGGCGGCGGCCGACAGCCGCUGCGGAGGCUGCGUGCACGGGUUUUACAGCCCUGAUGGCGAGAGGGAGCCCCGGGGCCGGUGCCUGCCCUGCUCCGCCGCCCCCCCCAGCACCCCGGGGUGCCCAGGUGGGUGCAGGACGGUGCUGUCGGGUGCUCGGGCUGGGAGGUUUCGGCUUUGUUGCAUCGCGGGGUGCAACAUCGCGGGAUGCAGGAUCGGCGCGCGCCGUCCCCUACCCCACGCCGCUGUCACCUGGGGGCUGUGGGUGGCAUCCUGCCCACCCGGUGGCAGCUGAGGACGCUUCCCCUCGUGGCACAUGUGGGGGAACUUUGCCAAAAAAAAAACCCACCACUUCUGGUGCUUACUGCAGGCCAGCGGCGAGCCCGGAGCGCGGCAGCACCGCGGGGGCCGGCGGGGAGCAACGGGACGCGGGAGGCUCGGCCGGAGGAGGCGGCGGCGGCGCAGUCGGCCGUGCUGGCCAUCGUGCCCAUCUUCUGCGCCAUGGGCUUGCUGGGCAUCCUCGUCUGCAACCUGCUGAAGAAGAAGGGCUACCACUGCACCGCGCACAAGGAGCCCGACCCCGGGGCCGGCACCGGUCCCAGCUCCGUCUACCAGAUCGAGGACGCCAACGAGGACACCAUCGGGGUCCUGGUGCGCCUGAUCACCGAGAAGAAAGAAAAUGCCGCGGCGCUGGAGGAGCUGCUGAAGGAGCAUCACAGCGCGCAGCUGGUGGCACCGGGCUGCAAACCUGCCUAUAAGUGAGACCCCCAAAACCCUACUGAGCCCCCCCCCA